GGUACAGUGGGCGCCCAUAUUUGUGAUGAUUAAAUCCAAUAUGUUGUCCCCUCUAGUGGGGGAACAUACUAAUUGUUCAAGGGCAUUUGAAUUUAUAAAUUCCA